rnacentral:rRNA from 1 species
UACGCCUACGGGGGGCAGCAGUAGGGAAUCUUCCACAAUGGACGAAAGUCUGAUGGAGCAACGCCGCGUGAGUGAAGAAGGGUUUCGGCUCGUAAAGCUCUGCUGGUAGUGAAGAAAGAUAGAGGUAGUAACUGGCCUUUAUUUGACGGUAAUUACUUAGAAAGUCACGGCUAACUACGUGCCAGCAGCCGCGGUAAUACGUAGGUGGCAAGCGUUGUCCGGAUUUAUUGGGCGUAAAGCGAGUGCAGGCGGUUCCAUAAGUCUGAUGUGAACGCCUUCGGCUCAACCGGAGAAUUGCAU